UACGGAGGGGACUAGCGUUGUUCGGAAUUACUGGGCGUAAAGCGCACGUAGGCGGAUUUGUAAGUCAGGGGUGAAAUCCCGGGGCUCAACCUCGGAACUGCCUUUGAUACUGCAAAUCUCGAGUCCGGAAGAGGUGAGUGGAAUUCUUAGUGUAGAGGUGAAAUUCGUAGAUAUUAGCUAGAACACCAGUGGCGAAGGCGGCCAACUGGUCCGACACUGACGCUGAGGUGCGAAAGCGUGGGGAGCAAACAGG
rnacentral:rRNA from 1 species